rnacentral:rRNA from 1 species
AGCAGCCGCGGUAAUUCCAGCUCCAAUAGCGUAUAUUAAAGUUGUUGCAGUUAAAAAGCUCGUAGUUGAAUUUCGGGGUCAGUAGGUUGGUCAUGCCACUGGUAUGUACUGGCCUCACUGAUUCCUCCUUCCUGAUGAGCCGUAAUGCCAUUAAUUUGGUGUUGCGAGGAAUCUGGACUGUUACUUUGAAAAAUUAGAGUGUUUAAAGCAGGCUAACGCUUGAAUACAUUAGCAUGGAAUAAUGAAAUAGGACGUUCGAUCUUAUUUUGUUGGUUUCUAAGAUUGACGUAAUGAUUAAUAGGGAUAGUUGGGGCAUUAGUAUUCAAUUGUCAGAGGUGAAAUUCUUGGAUUUAUUGAAGACUAACUACUGCGAAAGCAUUUGCCAAGGAUAGUUUUCAUUAAUCAAGAACGAAAGUUAGGGGAUCGAAGACGAUCAGAUACCGUCGUAGU